AGAGCGAACGCUGGCGGCAGGCUUAACACAUGCAAGUCGAGCGGGCGUAGCAAUACGUCAGCGGCAGACGGGUGAGUAACGCGUGGGAACAUACCUUUUGGUUCGGAACAACCCAGGGAAACUUGGGCUAAUACCGGAUAAGCCCUUACGGGGAAAGAUUUAUCGCCGAAAGAUUGGCCCGCGUCUGAUUAGCUAGUUGGUGAGGUAACGGCUCACCAAGGCGACGAUCAGUAGCUGGUCUGAGAGGAUGAUCAGCCACAUUGGGACUGAGACACGGCCCAAACUCCUACGGGAGGCAGCAGUGGGGAAUAUUGGACAAUGGGCGCAAGCCUGAUCCAGCCAUGCCGCGUGAGUGAUGAAGGCCCUAGGGUUGUAAACCUCUUUCGCCCGCGACGAUGAUGACGGUAGCGGGAGAAGAAGCCCGGCUAACUUCGUGCCAGCAGCCGC
rnacentral:rRNA from 1 species